GAUGAACGCUGGCGGCGUGCCUAAUACAUGCAAGUCGAGCGAACGGACGCGACGCUUGUUUCUCUGAUGUUAGCGGAGGACGGGUGAGUAACACGUGGAUCACCUACCUAUAAGACUGGGAUAACCUCGGGAAACCGGCGCUAAUACCGGAUAAUAUUUUGAACCGCAUGGUUCAAAAGUGAAAGACGGUCUUGCUGUCACUUAUAGAUGCAUCCGCGCUGCAUUAGCUAGUUGGUAAGGUAACGGCUUACCAAGGCAACGAUGCAUAGCCGACCUGCGAGGGUGAUCGGCGACAUGGGAGCUGGGACGCGGUCCAGGCUCCUGCGAGAGGCAGCAGUAGGGUAUCUUCCGCAGUGGGCGAAAGCCUGACGGAGCAACGCCGCGUGAGUGAUGAAGGUCUUCGGAUCGUGAAACUCUGUUAUGAGUGAAGAACAUAUGUGUAAGGAACUGUGCACAGCUUGACGGUACCGAGUCAGAAAGCCACGGCUAACUACGUG
rnacentral:rRNA from 1 species